rnacentral:rRNA from 1 species
AGUGGCAGACGGGUGAGUAACAUGUGGGUAUCUACCCUUUGGCCUGGAAUAACACGAGGAAACUUGUGCUAAUACUGGAUAAGUCUUUACGGAGAAAGCUUUAUGCACCAUUGGAUGAGCCUGCACUUGAUUAGUUUGUUGGUAGGGUAAUGGCCUACCAAGACUGUGAUCAAUAGCUGAUUUGAGAGGAUGAUCAGCCACAUUGGGACUGAGACACGGCCCAAACUCCUACGGGAGGCAGCAGUGGGGAAUCUUGCACAAUGGAGGAAACUCUGAUGCAGCGAUGCCGCGUGAGUGAAGAAGGCCUUUGGGUUGUAAAGCUCUUUCGUCGGGGAAGAAAAUGACUGUACCCGAAUAAGAAGGUCCGGCUAACUUCGUGCCAGCAGCCGCGGUAAUACGAAGGGACCUAGCGUAGUUCGGAAUUACUGGGCUUAAAGAGUUCGUAGGUGGUUGAAAAAGUUGGUGGUGAAAUCCCAGAGCUUAACUCUGGAACUGCCAUCAAAACUUUUCAGCUAGAGUUUGAUAGAGGAAAGCAGAAUUUCUAGUGUAGAGGUGAAAUUCGUAGAUAUUAGAAAGAAUACCAAUUGCGAAGGCAGCUUUCUGGAUCAUUACUGACACUGAGGAACGAAAGCAUGGGUAGCGAAGAGGAUUAGAUACCCUCGUAGUCCAUGCCGUAAACGAUGUGUGUUAGACGUUGGAAAUUUAUUUUCAGUGUCGCAGCGAAAGCGAUAA